UUUAUGACUCUCGACAACGGAUAUCUUGGCUCUUGCAUCGAUGAAGAACGCAGCGAAAUGCGAUAAGUGGUGUGAAUUGCAGAAUCCCGUGAACCAUCGAGUCUUUGAACGCAAGUUGCGCCCGAUGCCAUCAGGCUAAAGGCACGCCUGCCUGGGCGUCGUGU
rnacentral:rRNA from 1 species